CUUGCAAUAGAGUGAGCUCUGUCCUUUCUAUGGCACUCUGUGGAGAAGGUACAGUCACACCAGCUAUUGUCAAAGGUCAUUUCUCCGCCUGCUUUAGCAUGCCCUUUCAUGCAGAAGACCCAGCUGCAGGACCAGAUGUUGCUCAGGGCAUUUUCUUUGAAGGUAAUCUGAAGUACUCGUGCAAGGACCCUCUGUCAGCAGCCAGAAAGGCUCAUACAAUAGAGAGGAGUUCAACUACAGCUCUUCCCGAUAUUUAACCAUAUGCCUGUCAGUGACCUCCUGAUUUCCAAGCUACCUGAGGGAUGGAAGCAAAAUCAGAGGACAAUUCCCAGUGGACCAUGCUUGUGUAUUUUCUAUCACUAACAUACAGAGCCAUACUGCCAAAGUCCAUGGAAGCCCAGUAAAGGAAUAAUGUGUGACAACAGUAGACUAAAAAGGGUCAGUGAUAUAAAACUUGUCAAGGUAGUGCAAAAUAACAAGAGGAGAGUGUAGUAAUUAUAGUUUUGAUAAAUGUAGGACUGUAGCUUUAAGAAUAAUCCGGUAUUGUAAGAUCACAUGAUCUGUGUAAACCAAUGAGGUGGCAGUGGGGGGAACUUCUAGGAGGGAGUUCUUCUUUAGUUAUUGAGUUAGAUGCACAAAUAUAGCUGCUGCUGUCUUGUAAAUAAAGUUCAAAGUUUUCACCAAG